rnacentral:rRNA from 1 species
UGGGGAAUUUUACACAAUGGGCGAAAGCCUGAUGUAGCAACGCCGCGUGGAGGAUGACGGAUUUAGGUCUGUAAACUCCUUUUAUAGGGGAAGAAAUUUGACGGUACCCUAUGAAUAAGCACCGGCUAACUCCGUGCCAGCAGCCGCGGUAAUACGGGGGGUGCAAGCGUUACUCGGAAUCACUGGGCGUAAAGGGAGCGUAGGCGUUCUAUUAAGUCUUGAGUGAAAGCCUGCAGCCUAACUGCAGAACUGCUCAGGAAACUGAUAGAAUUGAGUAUGGAAGAGGUCAGUGGAAUUUCCAGUGUAGGGGUAAAAUCCGUAGAUAUUGGAAGGAAUACCAGAAGCGAAGGCGACUGACUGGGACAUUACUGACGCUGAGGCUCGAAAGCGUGGGGAGCAAACA